UAAAUCCAGGGAAUGGCAUGAGCCUUUGAACCAUCGAUCACCCUUUCCAGCAGCUUCACCAUAAACACAUGCCAAUUGAUUUGAUUACUCUCAGUCAAGCACUGCAUGAGCACAAGGUCCAUAUAGUAAGCAGUAUGCCUUCUUUCCUGCCUGGGUAGGAGGCAUUUGUUGACAAACUCAAAGAGCACCUUGUGCUCAGGCCUCAUCUCAC
rnacentral:lncRNA from 1 species